rnacentral:rRNA from 1 species
GAUGAACGCUGGCGGCGUGCCUAAUACAUGCAAGUCGAGCGAACGAACGAGAAGCUUGCUUCUCUGAUGUUAGCGGCGGACGGGUGAGUAACACGUGGAUAACCUACCUAUAAGACUGGGAUAACUUCGGGAAACCGGAGCUAAUACCGGAUGAUAUUUUGAACCGCAUGGUUCAAAAGUGAAAGACGGUCUUGCUGUCACUUAUAGAUGGAUCCGCGCUGCAUUAGCUAGUUGGUAAGGUAACGGCUUACCAAGGCAACGAUGCAUAGCCGACCUGAGAGGGUGAUCGGCCACACUGGAACUGAGACACGGUCCAGACUCCUACGGGAGGCAGCAGUAGGGAAUCUUCCGCAAUGGGCGAAAGCCUGACGGAGCAACGCCGCGUGAGUGAUGAAGGUCUUCGGAUCGUAAAACUCUGUUAUUAGGGAAGAACAUAUGUGUAAGUAACUGUGCACAUCUUGACGGUACCAAAUCAGAAAGCCACGGCUAACUACGUG